rnacentral:rRNA from 1 species
AGGAUGAACGCUGGCGGCGUGCCUAAGACAUGCAAGUCGAGUGGGUUUAGACCCACGGCAAACGGGUGAGUAAUACCCAGGAACGUACCGUAAGUUGAGUAUAACCUACCGAAAGGUAGGACAAUCCUCAAUGUGAUCGCAAGAUUAAAGUCGCAAGACGCUUACGAAGCGGCCUGGGCACCAUCAGCUAGUUGGUAAGGUAAUGGCUUACCAAGGCUUUGAUGGUUAGGGGCCCCGAGAGGGGAAACCUCCACACUGGAACUGAGACACGGUCCAGACUCCUACGGGAGGCAGCAGUGGGGAAUAUUGGACAAUGGGCGCAAGCCUGAUCCAGCAAUGCCGCGUGUGUGAAGAAGGCCUUCGGGUUGUAAAGCACUUUUAUCGGGAACGAAAUACCACGGGUUAAUAACCUGUGGGGCUGACGGUACCCGAGGAAUAAGCACCGGCUAACUUCGUGCCAGCAGCCGC